GCCAGGACAUUGCUGGACGCGGCCACGAUGCGCCAGGACGACGCGGCUACGCUGCCGGACGCGACAACAGAGGCACCAAGCAAGGAGGCAUCAAACACGGAGGCAGCAAACGAGGAGGCAACAGCCAAGGAGGCAACGAACUUGGAGCAGGCCAACGCACCCGCGCCAAGCCAGC
rnacentral:SRP_RNA from 1 species